UACGGAGGGAGCUAGCGUUGUUCGGAAUUACUGGGCGUAAAGCGCACGUAGGCGGCUUUCUAAGUCGGGGGUGAAAUCCUGGAGCUCAACUCCAGAACUGCCUUCGAUACUGGAAAGCUCGCGUCCGGGAGAGGUGAGUGGAACUCCGAGUGUAGAGGUGAAAUUCGUAGAUAUUCGGAAGAACACCAGUGGCGAAGGCGGCUCACUGGCCCGGUACUGACGCUGAGGUGCGAAAGCGUGGGGAGCAAACAGGG
rnacentral:rRNA from 1 species